UUGAGUCUGGUUUAUUCUGAUUGCAAAACAGGACAUGUUCUCAGGAGCUUUAGAAAAUGGGUUAUUAUUAUGGAUGGGCAAUUAAGGAGUCAUUCACAGCUGUCACUUCAGCUGCUGCUCCCCAGGUAGAGCCCAUUAAUGCAAGGUGAAGUCCUACAGAGAUAGCACUUGUUAAAUAUUUGUCCAAGAAAAUUGAAUUUGGCUUGGCUGAGCCCUUUCUGUCCCAGUUCACAGAGGCAGCUACUGAGCAUCAAUAAAGAGGGGGUUAUUUACCUGUAGCUACAAAAUCACUGCUGUGUGUGGCCUGCUAAGAGCAGCAGAGCUGUACAUGUGCUAGUGGUGUUAUCCUCCAAAGCUGCCACGUCUGCUCCAAGUCAGUUCCAUGCUCCCAACUGGCACAGACCAGAGAGGGGUUCUGUGCCCUGUGGGUCAAGACCAGGCUCACCACUGCUACAUGGGGACAGUGCAGGAUCUGUACUGCACCAGUGCCCACCCCCAUGGCAUUGCUGCUCAAUAGCCAGAAAACUUCACGUUUUCCAAAACCUUUAUUUUACUCUGAUCUUUUGUAUCAGUCACAUGUGUUUGUUUCAGUGGGUUCAGGUGGACUCUGACUGCUCCAGCUGCAAAGCUCUUUGCCUCAGUUGCACCUGUGAGAAGGUUGCUGCUGUAGAUCAUCUUCAUUGGUGAGAUGUUGAGGCAGACCCUGUGUGCUGCCCCAUGCCCAGGGUUCCUGAUCAGCUGCUCACAGAAGGGCAGUGUUGCACAUUUACCUCCAGAAUCACAUGCAGAGCUGCAAGGCAGCUGACAGCUCCUCUUCACUCUGAUUUCUUGUAAACAGCUGCUCAAGACCAUUGCCACCAGCCCAACCCCAACAAGCAGCCUAAUGCCCACUGGCCUGUCCUGUAGAGGCAGGGAAUGCCCAGCAGCUCUGCAGCCAGUCCCCCUGACCUCUGGCUGCUUUUAUCCUGCAGCAUUGCUUCUCACUGGCACAGGGCACUGCCUGCCUGGAUCCACUCACUCAUGUUCCCAGCAGCCUUCUUUCUGUCAGCUUCCAGUGUUCUCAUCCUUGUUAUCUUCACUAACAUGCUUUUCAAUCCAGGGGUCAGAAACCCAGACUCACUUCCCUGGUUUCAGCAAUUGCACAGAUGAACACACACAAUUGUUUUCAAGUUCUUGUAGCAGAGGCUUACAAAAUUGAGACAAAUAAUUAAUCCAAAUGAUUCCCAGUCCAAAUACUCAUUCUAACCACUAUCCUACCAGUGCUGAAGUUUCCUGCUACCCUCUUCGCUGGUUUCUUGGAAUGUAUUCCCACCACUUGUGGGACAUGGACCUUUUAUCAAAGACAGGCCAUAGAGAGGGCAGGGACAAAUUACAGGCUAAUCCCAAAAGAGGUGGAUAUAAUUGAGAAUCAGGUGUCUGUCAGGCAGUCCUAUACCAUGUGAGGGGUACUAGGAGCAGUGGAUGUUUGCCACAAGCCUGGUGUCACAGCUACCAGGUGGACAAAGAGUGUCCCCUGUUCUGCUGCAGGUUAAGGCAGAGGGUCACAGGCAGACAGUGCUACUGUACCAGGAGUCAGCUCUGUGCCAGAGCUUUCUGGCAGAAAGAUACAACCAUAACAAAGGCAUUGGAUAGAUCUUUUAUGGAUAUCCAUACAUCAGAUGGCAGCUCCAAAGCAGCGAUUUCCAGACUGGGGAUGUCCCAUUGUUCCUCUCAUCCCAAGCAGCACUGCCUGUUCUCCUGGUCCCUGUAAGGUUAAAGGACAAGCACUGGCAUUCUCCUUAGAUGUCCUGGGAUGAUCAUUUCAGUCUCCUUUGGAAUGUUUAACACACCAGGAGGCAUUCAGUGGUUCCAUGCACUGCAACAGGUGGGCAGCAGUACAGCACACAGUUCACCUCAGGACACGGGAACACGGCUCAGCACCUUUUCUUUUGUUGGAAGUAUUUAAUAAAACAGUAUGCUUAGCAUACUCAGUGAUAGCAGGUUACUCUACAGCAGGAUGCAGAUGGUGUAGCAGCCAAUGGACCAUUUUAGAGAGGUGUGCUUUGCUGUUACUGGUAGGCAAACAGUUGCCCCAAAUUCCUGAAUGCCAGACAGGAAUAGAAUUGGUCAAAAAUAUUACUCUUCAAAACAAAGCCAUAAAAAAACCACAAAGAAAUUUACAUACAUUCUACAC